GUUUAAUACUGGAUAUGAGCUGGGAUCCCAUGGUCCAGUAGCUGGAAAAAUUUUUUGGUCAGGGAUGAGCUCGCGGCCUAUCAGCUUGUUGGUGAGGUAAUGGCUCACCAAGGCGUCGACGGGUAGCCGGCCUGAGAGGGUGACCGGCCACACUGGGACUGAGACACGGCCCAGACUCCUACGGGAGGCAGCAGUGGGGAAUAUUGCACAAUGGGCGCAAGCCUGAUGCAGCAACGCCGCGUGAGGGAUGACGGCCUUCGGGUUGUAAACCUCUUUUAGCAGGGAAGAAGCGAAAGUGACGGUACCUGCAGAAAAAGCGCCGGCUAACUACGUGCCAGCAGCCGCGGUAAUACGUAGGGCGCAAGCGUUAUCCGGAAUUAUUGGGCGUAAAGAGCUCGUAGGCGGUUUGUCGCGUCUGCUGUGAAAUCCCGAGGCUCAACCUCGGGUCUGCAGUGGGUACGGGCAGACUAGAGUGCGGUAGGGGAGAUUGGAAUUCCUGGUGUAGCGGUGGAAUGCGCAGAUAUCAGGAGGAACACCGAUGGCGAAGGCAGAUCUCUGGGCCGUAACUGACGCUGAGGAGCGAAAGGGUGGGGAGCAAACAGGCUUAGAUACCCUGGUAGUCCACCCCGUAAACGUUGGGAACUAGUUGUGGGGUCCAUUCCACGGAUUCCGUGACGCAGCUAACGCAUUAA
rnacentral:rRNA from 1 species